UGAGUUCAUACUACAAUGAAAAUUGCCUUUU
rnacentral:piRNA from 1 species